rnacentral:rRNA from 1 species
GGUGCGUAACACUGCAUGCAACCUACCCUUUACAGGCAGGAUAGCUCGGGGAACACUCGAAUUAAGCCCGCCAGUAACUAUACAUUGCACAUGGGCGAGUCAUUCUGAUUAUUAAAUCUUUGGAGGUGGAGGAUGGGCUAUGCGUCUUGAUUAGUUAGUUGGUAGUGUAACGUGACUACCAAGACGAGUGAUCAGUAGGGGAACUGUGAGGUUGAUCCCCCACACUGGCUAGUGAGAAUACGGGCCAAACUCAUACAGGAGGCAGCAGUAGGAAUAUUGGUCAAUGGGUGAGAGCCUGAACCAGCCAUGCCGCGUACAGGAGAAGGCCUUCUGGGUUGUAAACUGCUUUUGCCAGGGGAUACAAAGUUCCAUGCGUGGAAAAUUUGAAGGUACCUGGUGAAUAAGCCACGGUAACUACGUGCCAGCAGCCGCGG